UGGGUAACCUGCCUCAAAGAGGGGAAUAGCCUCCCGAAAGGGAGAUUAAUACCGCAUAAUAUGUUUAAGUCGCCAUGACUUUAACAUCAAAGGAUUUUCUUUUAGAAAUUCCACUUUGAGAUGGACCCGCGGCGCAUUAGCUAGUUGGUGAGGUAACGGCUCACCAAGGCAACGAUGCGUAGCCGACCUGAGAGGGUGAUCGGCCACAUUGGAACUGAGACACGGCCCAGACUCCGUAGGAGG
rnacentral:rRNA from 1 species